GGAAUCUAAAAGGAACAUGGCUGCAGGCGAGGAGCAGUCUUAAAACAGCCACUUCCAGCCAGUACACACAAAUAAACCUGAACGCUGAACUUCAAGAGAACCUCGUAAAAAGAGAAUUUUUGCAAUUAAAGUCACAAUGUGAGAAUCCUUUAUAUUGACUUUAAAAUCAAGCCAGUAAUAGACAAAACCGUUAAAGUGACAGAGCCUGGAGCGACUGUGUGCUGCUUUACAAUGAAAUGGCUUGUUUUCUCAUACUUUGCUGCUGACACAGUUGCCAUAUUAGAACAAAAUAAAUGGUUAGCGUCCUUGUUAUUAUCUCUCUUAAACCCAGUUGAACGGUCUGAACGCCUGCCAUUGUUCAGUCUCUGUGAUAAGGGGCAUGUGAUUCACCACUACGGCUCAGUAAAUGAAGGCUGGAGAUGAGCCACUGACAUGAAUACCCUGCCCUUGACUGAGCCGGGAUGCGAUCUCACGACUGCAUGUGAAAGCGCUCACUGGCACGGUGCCCGUCAGAUCGAGACGUCAGAGCCGCACACACUCACGCUGGCACGGGUCCCAUCGCUGCGUCCGCCCAUGCGAGGCCACCGGGCUGUGACGUUACAGAGGGAUAAUUUUGGGAUGACGCAUGCCGGUUCUCU